rnacentral:lncRNA from 1 species
AAACAUAGAUUUGCAUUAAGUGAAUACUAUUACAAGAGUAAUUUCACGGAUACAUUAGAUUACACAACAACACACUACAUUCUAAGCUAUCCUAGAUCCUACCUCGAUGAAGAAUCUAGCUCCUCAUCUUGAUCUGAUCAGCCUCUAUCUUCAACUUCAUGGUUCUUGACUCCAUUGUGUUGAAGAUGUUGCAGCUGUACACUUCAUUCCANN